rnacentral:rRNA from 1 species
GUCUUUAAGAUUAUAUUUUAAAGUCUAAUCUGCCCAAUGAAAAUUUUAAUGGCCGCAGUAUUUUGACUGUGCUAAGGUAGCAUAAUAAUUAGUUUUUUAAUUGAAAGCUGGAAUGAAGGAUUGAACGAGAAAUUAACUGUCUUAAUUUAAGAUAAUUAGAAUUUUAUUUUUAAGUUAAAAUGCUUAAAUUUAUUUAAAAGACGAGAAGACCCUAUAGAGUUUAAUAUUCUAUUAAAGUUAUAAUUUUUAGAUAUAUUUUUUUAUAAAAGUAAUAGGAUAUUUUAUUGGGGCGAUAAGAAAAUUUAAGUAACUUUUUUUUAAGUAAAACAAUUAUAUUUGGGUAUUUGAUCCUUAAAUUAAGAUUAUAAGAUAAAAUUACCUUAGGGAUAACAGCGUAAUUAUUUUUAAGAGUUCUAAUCGAUAAAAUAGUUUG